CCCCACCUGUCUGAGGCCCAAGGAGGUGACAUAACAUGGUUUCCCCACCCACUGUUUUCCAGUUUUACAAUCAGGACAACCCUGCGAAGUAGGUUAGACUCUGAGAGGUACAGUGAACUACAUGACUGAGUGGGGAUUUGAAGGGUCCUAGUCCAACGCUCUAACCACUACAUUACACUGGUCGCGGCCAGCAGACCACAUUGGGGGGGGGGUGACACCUCUUGCCGUGGGAACUCCCUGUCCCUGACCAUGUUCCACACUGGCUAGACACCCCAAGGUGCCACAGACGCCCCAUCUCUGUUUGGACCCCUUCUGUUUAUACUUGUCUCUGGCUUUGGAACUUUCUUUAUGUAUGCAACAACAGCAGCAAGAAUACUCAUCGCAAAGUAUUGGAAGACACAAGAACUUCCCACGCUGGAGGAAUGGCAGAUGAAACUGAUGGACUAUAUGGAACUGGCGGAAAUGACUGGCAGAAUCCGUGACCAGGGAGAAGAGUUGGUGGAGGAAGAUUGGAAGAAAUUCAAAGAUUAUCUUCAGAAACAUUGCAAAAUUAAAGAAUGUUAGAGUGAUGUUGGAUCGAAAAUAAGUGGUUUCCAGCUGUACAGGUUAAAGUUAUUGAUAGACUAAGAUUAAAGAUUAGGAUUAAAGAUGUUUAAGGAAAUGGAAAUUUGGUACUUAAGAGAUAAAAUUUUAAUGUUAUAUUACAUUAAGA
rnacentral:lncRNA from 1 species